rnacentral:rRNA from 1 species
CACUUCUAAGGAAGGCAGCAGGCGCGCAAAUUACCCAAUCCUGACUCAGGGAGGUAGUGACAAGAAAUAACAAUAAACCGGCUUAUGCCGGUUUAAUUGGAAUGAGUACAAUUUAAACAUCUUAACGAGGAACAAUUGGAGGGUAAGUCUGGUGCCAGCAGCCGCGGUAAUUCCAGCUCCUAUAGCGUAUACUAAAGUUGUUGCAGUUAAAAAGCUCGUAGUUGGAUUUCUGUGGGGACGGAGCGGCCGGCCGCACAUCGCGGUUCGAGCUAGCGCUUUCCCUACAUCCUGCCGCGAACCGUGCUACCAUUAAUUUGGUGGCGCCGGGGAUCGGCUCGAUUACUUUGAGAAAAAUAGGGUGUUCAAAGCAGGCCACAUGCCUUGAAUAAGUUAGCAUGGAAUAAUAACUAAGGACUUCGGUUCUAUUUUGUUGGUGUUCGGGACUGAAGUAAUGAUUGAUAGGGACAGUUGGGGCGGUCUGUAUUCCAAAGCGAGAGGUGAAAUUCUUAGACCUUCGGAAGACAAACAGCUGCGAAAGCGUUCCGCAAGGAUGUUCCCUUUGAUCAAGAACGAAAGUUGGGGGAUCGAAGACGAUCAGAUACCGUCGUAGUCUCAACUAUAAACUAUACCAGCUAGGGAUCGGCCAACGUUAUUUUAUACCGACUUGGUCGGCACCUUAUGAGAAAUCAAAGCAUCUGGGUUCCGGGGGGAGUAUGGUCGCAAGGCUGAAACUUAAAGGAAUUGACGGAAGGGCACCACCAGCCGUGGAGCCUGUGGCUUAAUUUGACUCAACACGGGAAAACUUACCAGGUCCAGACAUAGUAAGGAUUGACAGAUUGAUAGCUCUUUCUUGAUUCUGUGGGUGGUGGUGCAUGGCCGUUCUUAGUUGGUGGAGUGAUUUGUCUGGUUAAUUCCGUUAACGAACGAGACCCCAGCCUGCUAAAUAGCGCGCGUGAGCUUUGCUCGCGGCGAGCUUCUUAGAGGGACUCUGAUGCGCGAUAGCACAUGGAAGUUUGGGGCAAUAACAGGUCUGUGAUGCCCUUAGAUGUUCUGGGCCGCACACGGGCUACACUGGCGCCUGCAACGAGCAUAUCAGCUGGCCCGAGAGGGUCUUGGCUAAUCUUUUGAACCGGCGCCGUGCUUGGGAUUGACCUUUGCAAUUGUUGGUCAUGCAACGAGGAAUGCCUUGUAAACGCGAGUCAUCAGCUCGCAUUGAAUACGUCCCUGCCCUUUGUACACACCGCCCGUCGCUCCUACCGAUGAAUGUUCCGAUGAAAUAUUCGGAGAGCACCUGUGAACUUGGCUCCGCCUUGCGAACGGGAGGCUCAAAGUCACUUAAAUCUGAACAUUUC